CUGAGAACUGGAUCUCAAGAAAUCUCUGCUCACCCUGCAGGGAAUCUCUGAUCUCUGUCCAUAAUAAGUUCUGAUGAGGGAUAAUAAAGAAGGAAUCACACAUCUGGGAGACUUUUGUCUAAACGUAGAACGCAGCGGACCACAGUGACACUAAACCUGGUCGACUCUAAGAACAAAUGGCAGGAGGAGAGCGCCAACACGCAGCCAAGGUCCUUUCUGCCCCCGUGGCUGCUCGCUGAUCGAGGAUGAUAAAUGGCUGAACAUGGCCGAACCCUCAUUUGGCUCUCACAGCAUCAGGUCGGGGAAACAGAGCUGUGCUUCAUAUCUCAGAUGAUGAGACGAAGAUGGUCGUCUGAUGUAUAAAUGUGAGCAAUGUUACUGUCUAAACAUUGAGAACAAGAACACAGAUCCCUGUCAUGUGAUGUGACAUAAAGCA